UACUCAUGUGCAGUAAGUACUUCCUUGGGUC
rnacentral:piRNA from 1 species